rnacentral:tRNA from 1 species
AAGGUUGUGGUGUAGUGGUUGCACUUCUAAUUUUACUCCUUGUCGACGGAGGUUCGAUUCCUCUCGGCUUCA